rnacentral:piRNA from 1 species
UGUAGCAGUGAACUACAGGGUCUUUCUCUAA